rnacentral:rRNA from 1 species
GGAUUGCAGGCCGCAACCCGCCUGCAUGAAGUUGGAAUCGCUAGUAAUCGCGGAUCAGCAUGCCGCGGUGAAUACGUUCCCGGGCCUUGUACACACCGCCCGUCACACCAUGAGAGUCGGGAACACCCGAAGUCCGUAGUCUGACCGCAAGGGGGACGCGGCCGAAGGUGGGUUCGAUAAUUGGGGUGAAGUCGUAACAAGGUAAC